rnacentral:miRNA from 14 species
GGUCUCUCUGUGUAGCCCUGGCUGUCCUGGAACUCACUCUGUAGACCAGGCUAUCCUCAAACUCAGAGAGAUCCACCUGCUUCUGCCUCCCGAGUGCUGGAGUUAAAGGUGUUCACCACCA